GUCUCUGUGGCGCAAUUGGUUAGCGCGUUGGGCUGUUAACCGAAAGGUUGCUGGUUCAAGCCCAGCCAGGGACG
rfam:Ciona savignyi cont_27698, whole genome shotgun sequence.